CCACGUAAUAUGCAAUAUCUGGCUGCAUAGUUGCUGUUUGCCCGCCAUAUUAUAGAGGCGUAUAAUACACCCAACUAAUAAACCGCAGUUUUCAACAUUCGAAUCGCGUGUUCGAUUCGUGAUGUGUACCCAUGCGUUUUCUCGAUAGCGCGCGUACCGCGAACGCGAUAAAAAAUAUUCGACUUUGCCGCGGACAAUUUAAUAGCUAGGCCCGCGAACCUGUUACGAAAAUAUAGCGGUGACGUUUUUGCAAAAUGAAACCGGCUGUGGCGAACCGACGACGAGUCCGAAGUCGAAGUUGUUAAGCAGUUGUUAUAAAAUUUAAAAAAAAAAAAUCAUAAACCCGCGACGAUAUUAUAGGUAUUAUUAUAUUAUCGUUGCGUCCGAUCAUUUUAAAUACAACGGCAAACGGAGAACUGGUAAUAGACCCCAAAAUAACGGAAUCCUAUAUAGGGACGAAUCCACCUCGAAGCACCCGGUCUACAUUAAACAGAUACUGCGUACAGGCCAUGGACGGUGUGAGGCUGUCUUACGUAGACGGGAAUUUCAAAAUGACCCAGUCUCUACUGCGGUUACUGUGUCAGCGGGGAACAAACAAUAACGAACAAUAUAUUGCAACAACAGAAUGCCAUCAGAGGAGAAAACUCAACCGGGGAUUUAAGGGACGACAUUCAGUGACCCCAAAAGCAAUAAACUGGAUUUCGGAUCUCGACAUACAGCUACAGCAAGUCAUAAAACACAAAUAUAUUAGGAUUUUUUUUUUUAUAUUUUACUUAUAGCUAAGUUGAAGCCGCACGAAAUACAUCUUUUUCUUUUUCUGUAUUUUCAUAUAAAAUAGUAAUAGACCACGAAAUAUCGAAAACCAAGUGACGCGUAUGUACAGAACUUACAGUGGCAGAUCCGAUGGGAAGGAGGGAAAGACCAUUUGCAACAGUUAAACGCGAUAUAUAUUUUGCAACAAUAAAAUAAAAACCAUACUGUAUACUACGGUUUUUUCUUUAUUAUUCAAAGGGGGGAAUUUUUCAUUGCUCUCUCCUUACCUUACCUCAGAAAUGCAUCACUGUACAAAACACAAAACACGCGAUAUCACGGGAAAAUUUAUCGGGACAAAGUGGAAAUUUAAGUAUCGUGGUUCAUCUUAAAAUAAUUUAUAGUUAAAAUGUUCAAAUAAAACUGUACAACGAUAUCCC